GUAAUAAUUCUUGCUCGUGCACACCAUAAUAGUUGGAAUUUGUACAUAUCUGGAUGAAAAUUAAGUAAACCAAAUUAGUUUUCACCGUUAUUUUAUAAGAAGGGAAAAGAAAAACUAGUUUUGACCCACUUUUUGUGAAUCUUGAUAAGGCAUACAUGUGUGCAUGUUGUUGGUCGAGGUUUAAAUGGACUUGGAUUUGCAUAGUCUAAUUAAUUUAUAUAUGUGAGAAGUUGUUAUACUUCUCUUGCUUCUGCACAUUAUGUGAUGUUUCUUUUACAAUUUUACCUUUAUACAUGUUAAAUACAUU
rnacentral:misc_RNA from 1 species